rnacentral:rRNA from 1 species
CUGCAGCUCAAGUGGUGAUCGUUAUUAUUGGGCCUAAAACGUUCGUAGCCGGUUUAGUAAAUGCCUGGGUAAAUCGUGUAGCUCAACUAUACGACUUCCGGGUAGACUGCUAAACUUGAGACCGGGAGAGGCUAGAGGUACUCCUGGGGUAGAGGUGAAAUUCUGUAAUCCUGGGGGGACCACCAGUGGCGAAGGCGUCUAGCUAGAACGGGUCUGACGGUGAGGGACGAAGCCCUGGGGCGCAAACCGGAUUAGAUACCCGAGUAGUCC